GCACUGCUGGGCAGGGAAGCAGCUGGAUGAACGCUAGCCGUGAUCUGCCAUUAUUUUUACUCGGUUUUUCUAUAUUCAGACGAGCUGUUUUUACAGGCGUUAACGUCACGACUAACCGGUGUGCACGCUGUUUUCAACGUCCUCGAGAAAACAGAAGUUUGCUAGCUUAGCGUUAGCUUUAUGGAGCUGAGUAGGUAGCUUGGAGGCUAGCGAGGUAGGCAGUGAUAGCAUCUCAGCAUCUCCUUUUCGCUAUGGACGUUUGACUGUCGGCAAAAUUUCGCUUCGCUCUGGUGGACCUGCGCCGCACACCAGCUCUUUAAAAUAAAUUAUAACCGUGAUUUUGUCUCUUUUUUGUCGUUACAUGACACGGGUUUUAGCUGCCUUGUCUGUCACUGAUGUUAGCUCGUUUGAGGCAGGAAAGGUCUUCAUUGUUGUGGGGAGCUUCCAAAUCAUUUCUAAUGUUGCAGCUCGGUUUUUAAAAGUGUGCAUACGAGUCGGUUUAAGCUACGAAGUACGUUAUAGCAACUUCCAGUAAGCGUUUUGACUGACGGUUUUACUUCUGUCAUGGCAACAUCUAUGGUUGUAUGGACGCCUGAAGGAGAAUGAGUGUGCGCUUGGAAGGGAGAGGAUGCCACCAUCUUUCACCUAAGACUGUCCUGCAUAGCAUAUCGAUUAGUUGACCAAGAAUUGUUGGAGAGGACUGGGAAGGACGCAGAGGCUGUGUGAGAAGCUUCUGCUGUUGACUUUAUUAAUUUGUCUCGUUCGGUUCUUCUGCCCCAUGGAUGCUGUUAGUGGUGUCAACAUGCUGUCCCAAAUCGGAGAUGUGGCGCUGGCUGGUCCAGGGGGAGCAGGGCUGCCCGCCGUGUCCUUUACCAACACGUCGGUGUCCUCCAGCCAGCCGCCAACUACUGAGAACAGGGGGUGCGAGAAUGGCGCCUUAAUGGACUCGUUUGGGAUUUUUUUGCAAGGACUUCUCGCUGUGGUAGCUUUCAGCACGCUGAUGUUGAAACGCUUCAGGGAGCCAAAACAUGAGAGGAGACCCUGGAGGAUCUGGUUCUUGGAUACCUCAAAACAGGCCAUUGGGAUGCUGUUUAUCCACUUUGCUAAUGUCUACUUGUCAGACCUCACAGAGGAGGAUCCCUGCUCACUAUACCUCAUUAACUUCCUGUUGGAUGCCUCCCUGGGCAUGUUGCUGAUCUAUGUUGGGGUGAGAGCUGUCAGUGCUAUUGUAGAGUGGAGGCAGUGGGACUCUCUUCGCUUCGGAGAAUACGGAGAGCCAGUGCAGUGCACAGCCUGGUUGGGUCAGUGUAUCCUCUACAUCCUCAUCAUGGUGUUUGAGAAAGUGCUUAUCAUGCUGGUCCUCCUCAUCCCCCAGUGGAAAAAGCUGGCCCUCCUCAACCCCAUAGAGAAUCCUGACCUGGAACUGGCCAUCGUCAUGCUCAUCGUUCCGUUCUUCGUCAAUGCCCUCAUGUUCUGGGUGGUAGAUAAUUUCCUAAUGAAGAAGCACAAGACAAAAGCAAAGCUGGAGGAGAGAGAGGAGGACUCACGGGGGAACAGCAAGGUGCGCUACAGACGAGCUCUGUCCCAUGAUGACUCAGAAUCAGAGUUGACAGAAGCACUAGGAGUGUUCCUGUGAAACUGCUUCAGUGCCACAGUGGACACCGAGGAGUCCGUCACCUACAAGGUUCUUGCAGAAAUGCUUUCCAUUUGAAUCGACAGCAAAGGGCUAAGAUCCUUUUCUCAGCCGACGAUGAAAUGGAUGAGUCAGACGAGGAUGAUGUCCGUCGACUCACCGGCCUGAAGACGGUGAAGAAGAAGAAGCUCCGCAUGGGGAUCCCUGUUUGACCUGCGUGCCUGGCUAAAACUGCUACGAUUUCCUCUGGUACCUGUUCACCUCACAGGCCCACAUGUACACCCUGCCCCCCCCCAAUACCUCCACAGACUUUUCAGCCUUAGGAAAUGACGUGAUCCUUUCAAACACAGGAUGCCCUUUGAUGACAGAAGUAUGUACUGUAGACGAAUUCCCUUUACUGUUGACUACUGGAGGACUUCUGUAUAAACUGUGUCCAACCUGGGAUUUAUGGGAGAUAUUUCUGCAGUUCAACCAGGUACUUCAGACCACUGUUGCAUUUCAGCAUGGCACACCUGGGGCACGCGUUGUGUUUAAAGAGGAAGGAAAAGGAGUCAAACCAAGUCCUUUAUGCACGUGUGGCAGGAAACCGUUCAAUAAACUGGUUUAAUACUUUGGUAGCAGUGUGUAUGGGAGCACCUGCCCAGGAUCAGGUUUGGUUGGACAAAUCUCGAAUGCCACAACAGAACCAAAUGUCAUGCAAACAAAACUGUUAAAAAAAGUUGGUUUCAUUUGAUAGUCUAACAUGUCUUCUAAAGUGAUUGUAUUCCUGGUAUAGAUUUAAUGUAAUCUUUGUCCUUUGGUUUCCCAUGUAGCCAUACUACCAUAGCCUGAUUGUGUGUGUGAGUGUGUGUGUGAGAGAGAGAGAGGGUGUGUAGAGUUGGAAACGUCUCAAAUUUAGAGGAACAUUAUGUCAGUGUUUAAAAUCACUGUAUUAAUGCAACUCUUAACACUUCCCAGCUGUUAAACACUUUACUACGGUAUAUCUUCUAUGUGGUGUUACUCAUGUCAAAAGGAGAGCACAUUAAUGCUUGCAGUAACCUUCCGUUUUUAUCUUCUGACUGAACCUUUUCAACUGGUAAACCUGUAGUACUGCAAGCACCACACUGUAACAUCGUUCUAAUAUCAGCUCAGCCAGUGUCGUCUGUAGGCACAAGACUGCAGUUUGUUUGUGACCGUUUAACUGAUGUGUUUUUUUGUCUUUGAAUGUCUUUUACGUUUUGAGUGUAAUUUUUGGGCCAAAAAUGUGACUAUGCUUGUUCCAAAAGUGUUCUUUAUUCCUUCACUCCAUUGGGGAGAGUAGAUAUGGGAACCAUUUCUUGCACAAUUUCCCAUUUUUCACAAUUUUCCUCUUUCCUUUUGUGUUUGUGUGAUUUUUUUUUUCUUUUCUUUUCUUUUUUUUUGGGGGGGGGGGGUUACAAUAAUGUGCCUGAGUGAAAUUACCAGCAGGUGUUUUGUUUGUUUUUUGUUUGUUUGUUUGAUUGAGGUUUUUGAUGACUGUUUUAUCCAGAGCUCCAGAUCUUCAGGCAUUAAGCAGCAUUCAGCAGGCUCUGAUGUUAAGAAUGUUACAUGCAUAGACCUCUAAACUGUUAAGUGACUGUGGACCAGACAGUUGGGAGAAAGAGUGUGUGUGUGUUUAUUUUGUGUGUGCAUGCUAGUAUAUACAUAAAAUAUACAUGUAUAUACGGGCAUGUACUGGAUGCAUGUGUUAGUGUGUGCUGUUAAGUAUGACUGCUGGUCCUCUUUAAAGUAAAGGGAGAUUGGCAUAAACUGUGACUGUGAUGACGGUGGUAAUGGUCAUGAUUUCAUUAUGAUGUUUUUGGCAUGUUGGCAAGGAAUAAAUGACGUGAGCAUUUUAAUGGGAGAACGUCCAGCAUCAAGCAGCCGUUAAUGGCCAACCAAGACAAAGAGGGCUUUUAGUGUUUUGCAAAGAUGGUUACAAAAGCAAACGAUGGAGGAGGAUUAUCAUUUUAAAUGCCUUUCCAAUAAAGGAAGUGAAACACU